UACGUAGGGGGCAAGCGUUGUCCGGAUUUAUUGGGCGUAAAGAGCGUGUAGGCGGCCAUACAGGUCCGUUGUGAAAACUGGAGGCUUAACCUCCAGACGUCGAUGGAAACCGUAUGGCUAGAGUCCGGAAGAGGAGAGUGGAAUUCCUGGUGUAGCGGUGAAAUGCGCAGAUAUCAGGAAGAACACCCGUGGCGAAGGCGGCUCUCUGGGACGGUACUGACGCUGAGACGCGAAAGCGUGGGAGCAACAGG
rnacentral:rRNA from 1 species